GCCAGACUCCUACGGGAGGCAGCAGUGGGGAAUAUUGCACAAUGGGGGAAACCCUGAUGCAGCGACGCCGCGUGAGUGAAGAAGUAAUUCGUUAUGUAAAGCUCUAUCAGCAGGGAAGAAAAUGACGGUACCCGAGUAAGAAGCCCCGGCUAACUACGUGCCAGCAGCCGCGGUAAUACGUAGGGGGCAAGCGUUAUCCGGAAUUACUGGGUGUAAAGGGAGCGCAGACGGCAGUGCAAGUCUGGAGUGAAAGCCCGUGGCUUAACUACGGGACUGCUCUGGAAACUGUGCAGCUAGAGUGCAGGAGAGGCAGGCGGAAUUCCUAGUGUAGCGGUGAAAUGCGUAGAUAUUAGGAGGAACACCGGUGGCGAAGGCGGCUUACUGGACUGUAACUGACGUUGAGGCUCGAAAGCGUGGGGAGCAAACAGGAUUAGAUACCCGAGUA
rnacentral:rRNA from 1 species